UUUUUGUUAUGGAUUGUAGAAGUUAUAUUUUAACUUGCAUGUUUGUGCGGUAUAUAUUAUAUAUUAAUCCAUCUUGACAUUUUUUAUAUUUCUUAUGACUAUUUGGAUAGCAUGCAAUAGAUGAGGGGUGUCCCCUCGAGAGCUUAAAAUCCACUCUCCAUAUUAUGUGUUAAUUUAUCAAACAUUCUGCAGUGUUGAGUAUUCAAAUCAUAUAUGUGUGCCGCCUUCAAUGAUUAACUAGACAUGAUACAUCUGACUGUAAUAACUGAUAUUAAUUGUGGACUAUUGUCAUCUUACUGUGGAUUCAAUGAUUAACGAAAUUGUACGCUAUAUACUUUGAUAAUAUAACAUUUCUACUGCCAUUGUUCCAAAAUAUAAUUAUUUCUACUAGUUGCUUAGCAAACAACUAAGGUGAUAUCGAGAUAUUUUUUAGCCAAUUAAGUGGUCAGUUUUUGAAUUUUAAAUUAAUUAGGUCCAAGUUUAUCUCAACUAAUACUACAUUUCUCUAAUUUUAUGCCGCAUCUAAGCAUUUGAUGUUGAGUCCCACAUGAAAGCUGCAUUAUUGUCUCUCUUCCAAACCUACCUGAGGUGAUAGCAUGGCGAUAACGACGUUAAUUACUAAAGGCACGCAUGCCUCAUCGACAUAAGCCAAAAUUUAAUUGCCGGAAACGGGUCGAUUUGUUUCCGCGGAGAGAAGAGAGAGACGUACGCCGAUGCAAUUAUGCGUAUCGGAAUUUUAAUAUUUUAAUCCUUUCAUAGAACCUAUUCUAUAUAAUUAGAGUACACUGCCAUAAACUAUAUCAAAAUGUGGACAUCGAUCACGACACUACAUUAGUACUCUAGUAUUGAGAAUUUGAGAUUCAAUAAUAUCUUGGCAUCGCAUUGAGUUUUUCGUGUCGACUCCCUAACUUAAUGAAAAGGGGCUAUUAGGGGCUAUUGCAUAACUAACUUUAUUUUGAAAAAUAACUACAGAUUUGACCCUAUUUUUUAUAAUUUGUGGAUUUAACCUCGGUUUUUAAAUUCGAAGCGGCCGUCUGACCCUACAUUAGUGUUCCGUGAGUACUAAGGUAAAAAAAAAGAAAACUACACGUGAAAAGACAAAAAUACCC
rnacentral:lncRNA from 1 species